GUUUGCGUAGCGCAGAGUUUAACAUGUCAGCCUAUUACGCUGAACGCCUGGGUUCGAAUCCUGGCGAGAUCA
rfam:Stomoxys calcitrans breed 8C7A2A5H3J4 unplaced genomic scaffold Scaffold2443, whole genome shotgun sequence.